rnacentral:rRNA from 1 species
UACGGGGGGAGCAAGCGUUGUUCGGAUUUACUGGGCGUAAAGGGCGCGUAGGCGGUCAGCACAGGUCAGUUGUGAAAUCUCCGGGCUUAACUCGGAAAGGUCAACUGAUACUGUGCGACUAGAGUGCAGAAGGGGCAACUGGAAUUCUCGGUGUAGCGGUGAAAUGCGUAGAUAUCGAGAGGAACACCUGCGGCGAAGGCGGGUUGCUGGGCUGACACUGACGCUGAUGCGCGAAAGCUAGGGGAGCGAACGGG